CAGCCGUAAACUAUGCUCGCUAGGUGUCAGGCAUGGCGCGACCGUGUCUGGUGCCGCAGGGAAGCCGUGAAGCGAGCCACCUGGGAAGUACGGCCGCAAGGCUGAAACUUAGAGGAAUUGGCGGGGGAGCACCACAACGGGUGGAGCCUGCGGUUUAAUUGGACUCAACGCCGGGAAGCUCACCGGAUAAGACAGCGGAAUGAUUGCCGGGCUGAAGACUCUGCAUGACUAGCUGAGAGGAGGUGCAUGGCGUAGACGUCU
rnacentral:rRNA from 1 species